rnacentral:piRNA from 1 species
UUUUAAUGAAAAAAAAAGACU